rnacentral:rRNA from 1 species
UACAGAGGGGGCAAGCGUUGUCCGGAAUUACUGGGCGUACAGCGCGCGCAGGCGGUCCAUUACGUGCCGUGUGACAGACGUCGGCUUAACCGACGUAGGCCAGGGUACACGGAUGGACUGGAGGCAGAGAGAGGAAUGUGGAAUACCCGGUGGAGCGGUGAAAUGCGUAGAGAUCGGGUGGAACACCAGGGGCGAAGGCGGCAUUCUGGCUCUGUUCUGACGCUGAGGCGCGAGAGCGUGGGGAGCAAACCGG